AUUGUUCUGCUGUGUGCGUGUAUGGUUCAUAUUUUGCCCAACACACAUUACACAGGGAGCCUGGUCUCCAUCUGUGGCGUAUAAGCCUCCAUUGAGUGGACAUACAAAUCAGGUGGGAGGGCACCCACUUAGAAGAUAGGGAGCAAAAUACUGACUACCUAUACGGCAUGGUGGGACACUU
rnacentral:other from 1 species